CGCGAGACUACUGUUUCAUAUGAUGUUAUGAACAUUUUUUUCACGUGACUGGAUUUCUCAUCACAUCUGGUCGGCAAGGUGCCCAAAUUUAACAGGCGUUUAAGGUCGACAAGUUCAACUAUCUUUCAACGCUAUCCGAGUUCCUGGCAGUGCCAGCUGGAAGAACCACAGGCCGAUGCCAACAUCCCCCUUUUACCUGGCAUCGUGCCCUCUGCGUACCCGUGCCGUGCACCGAGUUGCCGCGACAACCAAAGCAGUGAAGUGGAGCAGUCCCAGCUGCAGCCCAAAGCACAGAGCCGGGGGGCUGCACAUGUCGUCAGCUCUGGUUUGCAUUAUGCAGGUCUGACUGCGGGGAGUUUGAUUAAUGGCUGGAGUCAGAGGGGACAGACACAGGAGCUCAGGGGGAGUUGCACACAACAAGCAGCUCCGCCAAUACAACAACUAGAAAUGGUAAGCAUUGAGGGCCAUUAUUGUUCUCGAUGUGGGGCGUCCUCUGCGGUAAAGUCUCUGGCACACUUUUAAAGACAUGGUGGGUAAUAUAUGCAGGCCUGAGCCAGUGGCCCUGGCAAAAGCAUUCCCCUCCCCCUCCCGAGACUUCUUUUCUUGGAAGAGAAGACAAACAUUUCACCAGCAGACCUGUGAUUCUCAGCAUGCCAACAGACCUGCGUAUUUAGUUUUGGGAUGGAGAAAGAUAAUGCUCUUUACAGGACCCCACGGACCGAAGCCCUCUUAUAUGAGAUCCGUGAUUGUAUGUUCAAUCUGUACACAAACUUUAGUGGCUCCACCCAGACACAUUGGCUGCAUAUUACACCUGUGUUGACACUGGCAGCACUCCUUUUUUCUCUAGAAAAAUGAAAGUUUACUCCACCUAAACACGAAUGUACUGCAUAUCAUUCUGUGUCAUGCAGGCGUGUACAGUUAAUGAUGACACGGCUGACACUGAUGGAUUAGGGGACGUAAUGUUCAGUCAAAUGCCUGAAACCACGUGACCCAUCUUGAACUUGCCAUCAACUCGAGCCUGACUUUUUUUUUUUUAAAUAAAUGCCAAAUGUGAAAAAGGACAUUUAAUUACUUAUUCAGUAUGUCUGAGAGUUGUUUCCAUGUCAAUAAUGCACGUCUGCAACGAUAUGACCAAUAAAUGAGGCA